AAGUCGUAACAAGGUUUCCGUAGGUGAACCUGCGGAAGGAUCAUUACAAAUCCAUCACGUCUCUUUUUGAGACCACGUUGAACUGUUCCUCAAUCAAGGCAUGCCUUGGUUGAGCUGUUAAAACUAGUGUUUCCUAUUUUGUUGCUCAAUUGUAACCUCUCUCUCAGUAUAUUCUUGCAAAAGAAUAGAACAGAAGACAACAACAACUUGUACAACUUAUAACAAUGGAUCUCUAGGCUCUU
rnacentral:misc_RNA from 1 species